rnacentral:rRNA from 1 species
UUGCACGCUGGCGGCAGGCCUAACACCUGCAAGUCGAGCGGAUGAAGGGAGCUUGCUCCUGGAUUCAGCGGCGGACGGGUGAGUAAUGCCUAGGAAUCUGCCUGGUAGUGGGGGAUAACGUCCGGAAACGGGCGCUAAUACCGCAUACGUCCUGAGGGAGAAAGUGGGGGAUCUUCGGACCCCACGCUAUCAGAUGAGCCUAGGUCGGAUUAGCUAGUUGGUGGGGUAAAGGCCUACCAAGGCGACGAUCCGUAACUGGUCUGAGAGGAUGAUCAGUCACACUGGAACUGAGACACGGUCCAGACUCCUACGGGAGGCAGCAGUGGGGAAUAUUGGACAAUGGGCGAAAGCCUGAUCCAGCCAUGCCGCGUGUGUGAAGAAGGUCUUCGGAUUGUAAAGCACUUUAAGUUGGGAGGAAGGGCAGUAAGUUAAUACCUUGCUGUUUUGACGUUACCAACAGAAUAAGCACCGGCUAACUUCGUG